AGUUACGAAUAAGGGCGUAUGGAGGAUGCCUAGACAAGAGAAAGUGAUGAAGGACGUAGCAGCCUGCGAUAAGCCCCGGGGAGGUGGCAAGCAACCUUAUGAUCCGAGGAUUUCCGAAUGGGGAAACCCUCCCGAUGAAAGAUCGGGAACACACUUCUGAAUUCAUAGGAGGUGUGAGCGCACCCGCUGAAGUGAAACAUCUCAGUAGGCGGAGGAAAAGAAAACAAUCGUGAUUCCCCUAGUAGUGGCGAGCGAACGGGGAAGAGCCUAAACCAUAUUUGUGUUUCUGAUUAGAGUCAUAUCGCAAGAUUUUGUCUAAAAUCAGAUUAAAAGGUGCAAGCCGUUGCAAAUAUGGUGUUGCAAGGGAACCGCAUUUCUCUUCUUGCAAGGAGAAGACAAAGUAUCUUUAUAACAUUCCUAGAGGAAUCUUCUGGAAAGAAGAGCCAAAGAAGGUGAAAGCCCUGUACGCGAAAGGAGUUAUAACUUUGUGGUGGUUUUUCUUAAGUACCACUGGACACGUGUAAUCCUGUGGGAAGCUGGGUCGACUAUGAUCCAAGGCUAAAUAUUUCUCUUGAUCGAUAGUGAACAAGUACCGUGAGGGAAAGGUUAAAAGUACCCCGGGAGGGGGAUGAAAUAGUAUCUGAAACCAUAUGCCUACAAGAAGUCAACGCCGGUACUCUGCAUUGGGAAAUGUUCAAUUUUUAAUUGAAAAUUGGAAAUUCCAAUGCAAAGUAUCGGUUAUGGCGUUCCUAUUGAAGAAUGAGCCAACGAGUUUGUGUGUGUGGCAAGGUUAACCCCGUUUAGCGGGGGAAGCCGUAGUGAAAGCGAGCGUUAAAUGCGCGUCCAUUCCGCCAUCGGCGGAAUAAAGUCGCACUUACAAGACCCGAAACGGGGUGAGCUAGCCAUGGCCAGGGUGAACUCUCAUGACAAGUGAGGGGGAGGCCCGAACCCACGCAUCGUGCAACGUGCGGGGAUGAGCUGUGGUUAGAGGAGAAAUUCCAAUCGAACUCCGUGAUAGCUGGUUCUCUCCGAAACAGUUUUUGGACUGGCCAUGUGUGGUUCUUCUCGGGGGUAGAGCACUGAAUGAGGAUGGAUGAGAAAUCUACCGUCUUCAACCAAACUCCGAAUACCGAGAAAUUAAAGCACGUGAGUUAGACCGUGGGGAAUAAGCUCCACUGGUCGAAUGGGAAACAGCCCAGAUCGCCAUCUAAGGUCCCGAAGAUCAUGCUCAGUGGUAAAGGUGGUGUUGACUCUCAUACAACCAGGAGGUUGGCUUAGAAGCAGCCAUCCUUUAAAGAAAGCGUAACCGCUCACUGGUCAAGAGUCUUCGCGCCGAAAAUGUAACGGGGCUAAAGCAUGACACCGAAGAUGCGAAUCCGAUCUAAUUUAUUAGAUCGGGUGGUAGGAGAGCGUUCCUUGUGCGCUGAAGUCGUACCUGUGAGGGGCGAUGGAGCGCAAGGAAGUGAGAAUGUUGGCAUGAGUAGCAGAAAGAGGGGUGAAAAUCCCUUCCACCGUAAACCUAAGGUUUCCUGGGCAACGACCGUCGACCCAGGGUGAGUCGGCCCUAAGGUAAACCCGAAAGGGGUAGCCGAUGGAUAAGGAGGUUAAUAUUCCUCCACUAUUCUUUUUUUCUGAUUGGGGUGACGUUGUCUUGGAGAAGAAGCGUUUUAUCGGUAUAAACGUUUGCGGCAAAGUAGCAAAGGGUUUGAGGCAAAUCCUUAGAUCCAUAUAUUUGCGAAAGCUGUGAAAAGGUGAAACCUUCGGGUGGAACCGAUUUUUUUGAAAAGGGGACCAAGAAAAACCUCUAGGGCUAAGAAAAGAAUAACCGUACCGCAAACCGACACAGGUGGGUGAGGAGAGUAUCCUCAGGUGUACGAGAGAACCCUCGUUUAGGAACUCGGCAAUACAACGGGCGUAACUUUGGAAUAAGCCCUGCCUAUUCGAUAUGUCGUUUUUCGAUAUAUCGCGUAGGUCGCAGCGAAAGACUUCAAGCGACUGUUUACCAAAAACACAGGUCCCUGCUAACACGUAAGUGGAUGUAUAGGGGCUGAUGCCUGGCCAGUGUCCGAACGUUAAGGGGACGGGUGAAUUUUGCAGCAAUGCAGAAGGAGCCUGGAACCGAAGCGCGGAUGAACGCCGGCGAUAACUAUAAUCGUCCUAAGGUAGCGAAAUUCCUUGUCGGGUAAGUUCCGACCUGCACGAAUGGCAUAAC
rnacentral:rRNA from 1 species